rnacentral:rRNA from 1 species
CCUACGGGUGGCAGCAGUGAGGAAUAUUGGUCAAUGGACGAGAGUCUGAACCAGCGAAGUAGCGUGAAGGAUGACUGCCCUAUGGGUUGUAAACUUCUUUUAUAUGGGAAUAAAAUGUUCCACGUGUGGGAUUUUGUAUGUACCAUAUGAAUAAGGAUCGGCUAACUCCGUGCCAGCAGCCGCGGUAAUACGGAGGAUCCGAGCGUUAUCCGGAUUUAUUGGGUUUAAAGGGAGCGUAGGUGGAUUGUUAAGUCAGUUGUGAAAGUGUGCGGCUCAACCGGAAAAUUGCAGUUGAAACUGGCAGUCUAGAGUACAGUAGAGGGGGGCGGAAUUCGUGGUGUAGCGGUGAAAUGCUUAGAUAUCGAGAAGAACUCCGAUUGCGAAGGCAGGUCCCUGGACUGCAACUGACACUGAGGCUCGAAAGUGUGGGUAUCAAACAGGAUUAGAUACCCUUGUAGUC